AUUUCUGAAUUAUUCAGUGUUGUCCACGUACUAGUUGUCAUAAACAGACUUUCGAUCUCUUUAUGAUGGCAGUACAGCAGAUCACUUAAGGAUUGCUAAGACAUGAAUUAACGUUUCUAACACUUGACAAAGUUACAACAUCCUACGUUGAAAAUGGACUAGACGAUACUGAUAAUAAUAAUGGUUUUAUGCAAAGUACGAGUAAUGGAUUGCAGUGCAACAGAUCACUCAAGGCUUGCUGAGCAUGAAUUAACAUUUUUAGCGCUU